AGGUGCUGCUGCCGCGGCCGCCAGGGAGGGAGGUGUCGGAGGGCGGGCCCCGCGCGGUGCUAGGGUUCCGUCUGGACUGGCGGUGGUGGGUCCCAACCGGCGGUACCGGGUUCCUUCCCGACCAGCGGUGCUAGGUUCGGUUCGGACGCGCGCUGCUGGAUCUAAAUGGGCAGUGCUGGGUCCGAUGGGUGGUGCUGUGUUGGGUCCGGACGCGCGGUGCAGAGUCCGGACGGGCGGUGCUGGAUCCAAAUGGGCGGUGCUGGAUCUGGACGGGCGGUGAUGGGUCCGAUGGGCGGUGCUAUGUUCGGUUCGGACGGGCGGUGCUAGGUCUAAAUGGGCGCUGCUGGGUCCGAUGGGCGGUGCUGCGUUCGGUCCGGACGGGCGGGGACGGGCGGUGCUGGGUCCAAAUGGGUGGUGAUGGAUCUGUGGACGGGCGGUGCUGGUUCCAGACGGGCGGUGCUGGGUCCAGACGGGCGGUGGGUCCGAUGGGCGGUGCUAGGUUCGGUUCGGAUGGGUGGUGCUAGGUCUAAAUGGGCGGCGCCGGAUCCGAUGGGCGGUGCUGGGUUCGGUCCGGACUGGCGGGUCCGGGUCUGGACGGGCGGUGCUGGAUCCAAAUGGGGGUGCAGUGCUGGAUCUGGACGGGCGGUGCUGGGUCCGAACGGGCGAUGGGUCCCAUGGGCGGUGCUAGGUUCGGUUCGGACUGGCGGUGCUGGGUCUAAAUGGGCGGCGCUGGGUCCGAUGGGUGGUACUGGGUCCGGACGGGCGGUUCUGGGUCUGGACGGGCGGUGCAGUAUCCAAAUGGGCGCUGCUGGGUCCGGACGGGCGGUGCUAGGUUCGGUCCGGACGGGUGGUGCUGGGUCUAAAUGGGCGGUGCUAGGCUCAGCAGGGGACCGGUGGGCGGCCCUGCGCUCCCCGCGCUCGCUGCUCCUCCUGCCCGCGCAUUGCCCCGGGGCUGCUGCGUGUUUCUUCCAGGGUGAUUCCUUUCCGCUGGGUCACUUCAAAGCCGACCUUUUCAAGCUGUUUUCUUCCGCGGAGGACACGUUGUUAGGCUUUGUGUGCAUUUCAAGGGUCAUGUUUUCUGAACCGCGCUCUGCCGCUCUUGGGGUGUUCGAGCCCCCACACUGCUGUGCGGUGUUCCUCUCACAGAGUGAGGUUGGAGGGUCCCACUCCCUUUGUGUGUCUCCUUAGAAAACGCCUCUUCUCUCAGACACAUCGUUAUCUGCCAAUUCUUCGCAGACGUAGAGAACGGACUGCAGAGUUAAUAAACGUCGAGGGGAAGCUUUGAUGCGCCCCAUUUGGCCCUGAGAGAUGCCACGUGAUCGUCAUUUUAAAUCCUUUCCUGGGCUUCCCGAUGGACUCGAGUUUUUACUAUGUGAGCAUCCCGGUGCCUGCACAGCAAGGACUCUCAUUGGGUUCCACACGUGCUGCGCAGAUCCCUGACGCAGCGUUCACUGAACCUCAACUGCAGGAGCUUCAUUCCUGAGGACGCUGUUACCAAGAAUGACUUGCCUCUUGAAGAAUGAGUUUGCAAAGCCGGCAGUUAGAUUGCUGAUGUCCAAAGACAUGAAAAUUUCCAGGCUGACAAAUAAUUUCGCUGUCAUCGGUCAAGACUCCAGGAUGAUAUUCUGAGCCAUAUGUUAAUUUUGAUAACCACCUAGAACAAUAAAAGGUAAACAUGCUACCAUCUUCUAUUCUCAUUGCACCACUGGAUUCUGGUACAUCUAAAAAUUGUACUUAAAUGAUAUCCAAGAAAUGCUGUAAAAAACAAAAUAGGGCCGGGCGCAGUGGCUCACACCUGUAAUCCCAGCAUUUUGGGAGGCCAAGGCGGGCAGAUCACGAGGUCAGGAGAUCAAGACCAUCCUGGCUAACACGGUGAAACCCCGUCUCUACUAAAAAUACAAAAAAAAAAAAAAUUAGCCGGGCAUGGUUGUGGGUGCCUGUAGUUCCAGCUACUCAGGAGGCUGAGGCAGGAGAAUGACGUGAACCCGGGAGGCGGAGGUUGCAGUGAGCUGAGACCGCGCCACUGCACUCCAGCCUGGGCGACAGAGCAAGACUCUGUCUCAAAAUAAAUAAAUAAAUAAAAGAAUGGGCUUUUCUGUUAUUAAUUCCAUUUUAUACAUGGUGAGACUGAAAUGCAAGAUAAAGGACUGGACUGAAGCUAAACAAACCUGCACUGGGCGAGGUUGAAAAAGACCUUUUUAAUCUAUAAGUCGGUUUUUGAAAAUUCAAGUUUCUACUUUAUAAUUUUAGUUUUCCUUUUAAACGUAUAUUAUUGUUAGUUGCACUGUUCAAAAAGUUUUACAGCUUCUAUUUCAAUCAGCACUGGUAUACUAAUAUUUUUAAGUAUCUCCUAUCUAAAACCAAAAUCUACGUAAAACCUAAAAGUACCAGGUAAUAGAGGACAACAGAGCAAGACUGUCUCUUAAAAAAAGAAGUAUCACAUAAUAGGAAUAAAUAUGAGGACAGAAAGUAAUAAUAUUUUUGAAUUUCUGAUUAAACUUUGCACUUACUUUAAAAUUUUUUUCGAAAUAUUAUGAAAACCAGGUUCUGAGACCAGCCACAUGAAAUAAACCUUUUCCUGCCCCAAUUUUCACAGCCUCUAGAAAAUAGUAGGUACCAGGGAAAAGAUUAAUACAUCUAAAAAAAAAAAGAUACAAAUAUAUCAACUAUGUUUAACUAUAUCAACUAUAUUUAGUACCCUAGGUCAUUUAAUUUUCUAGCCACCAAUAAAUUCCAUAUUUUAUUAAAUUAAUCAAAUUUUGAAAAGUGUCAAUAUUACUGUAUAAAUCAUCUUACAAGUCCUUUUAGUAGAUAUAUCAAUUUAGAGGAUGGUCUUUAGCAAAAAAAGUAAAGGAAAAGGAUUUAAUAAAGGUCCAAUAGCAGACCUUCUAGGGCAGGCAGCCUUCUAUAGUAGCCCAUGCAUGUGAAAGUUAAUCUAAUUAGUUGAUCUAUAAAGUUAAAUAACCAAACUCUCCUUUGCUUAACCCAUUGCUAGAAAGGCCAGUGUUGUUAAUUUCAUUUUUUAAACAAACAAGCAAAAAAAAUUCUAGAGGAUGAGUUUUUCAUAAGUAGGGUAUGUGCUACUUUAUUGGAAAAUGAAGAAAUAUAUCUUUCAACUCUGCUUCCUUCAUUGCUUUCCCGUGUUCCUAAUAUUUAGUCACAUUUUAGGUUAGAACUUUCAGGAAGUGAGUUUUUACACAGAAAUUAGUGCUAUAAACAGCCCUUAAAAUGGGAAUUUAAUCGUACUUAUUUAAAAUAUAUAUGUAUAUAAUCUUACCAACCCAGAAAGACAUGUUCUCUGGCAUUUUAUAAACUAAGAUGCUACUGGAAGGAAAAAGCUAAAUCUGAAAUACACAAACAACAUAUUUACACUGUGAUAUGGUUUAGAUCUGUAUGCCAAAGCUGAAUCUCAUGUCAGAUUGUAAUCUCCAAUGUUGGAGAUGGGGCCUAGGAGGAGGUGAUUGGAUUGGAUCAUGGGGGCGGAUUUCCUCCUUUGGUGCUAUUCUGGUGAUGGAGUUCUCACUAAAUCUUGUUGUUUAAAAGUGUGUGGUACCUCCCUUCCCCAGCUUCCUCCUGUUCCAGCCAGGUAAGACAUGUCUGCUUCCCCUUUGCCUUCUGCCAUGAUUGUAAGUUUCCUGAGGCCUCCCCAGCCAUGCUUCCUGUACAGCCUGCAGAACCAUGAGCCAAUUAAACCUCUUUUCUUUAUAAAUUACCUAGUCUCAGGUAUUUCUUUAUAGCAAUGCAAGAAUGGAAUGGACUAAUACACACUGAAUGCAAAGAAAUGAAAUGGUUGUGUGUGUGUGUGUGUGUGUGUGUGUGUGUGUGUGUAUGGAAGGUAUUAGAAGGGGAUUAUACCGUAAACAUGGGUCACUUACCUUUUACUGUGUUGGAGAAUUGCUUUGCACUAUCUUCUUUUUAUUCAGUACAUGUUGCAGACUAAGUUAAAAUGUGAUCAUAUAUAUCCUGAAAAUAAUGAAAGAAUAUCAGGCUGUGAGUAGAUUUGUGAAAGGGCGUCUCCCCUGCCUGCCUCCUUGUCCUCCUUUCCGCAUUCUGUCCAUCCUCAGCCGUGCGAGGUGUCGCUGCAUGCUGCUCUGGAAGUGCUCUCACUUCCAGAAUUUCUCCGUCCAGUGGCCCAUUUCGUCAGUUUCGGUUUCCCACUUUGAAAACCGAUCAACUGGCCGGGCGCGGUGGCUCACGUCUGUAAUCCCAGCACUUUGGUAGGCCGGGAUGGGCAGAUCACGAGGUCAGGAGAUCGAGACCAUCCUGGCUAACAGGGUGAAACCCCGUCUCUACUAAAAAAUACAAAAAAUUAGCCGGGCGUGGUGGCGGGCGCCUGUAGUCCCAGCUACUCCGGAGGCUGAGGCAGGA
rnacentral:lncRNA from 1 species